rnacentral:lncRNA from 1 species
GUUAUACAAUUCAAUAUUGAAGCGAGAGAUUCUCCAGAACUUGCCCAGAAGCCAAGACGUCUGGAAAGGAUCUCAGCCUCUGUCAGCCUGCAGCUUGGGAAGAGUGAUUCACAGAGCCUGACUGUCCACUGCUGCUAAACCAUACACUGGCCUUGGCUCACACAUCUGACUGAACUGUCUCCUAUGACUAACUGCCUCUCUUUCUUCAGCCUUGCAAGUUUCCUGGGAGUCCUGGGAGUGGACUUCACAUAUAAAAGGGGACUCUGGGAGACCUAGUUCCUGGCUUCUCUUCUGGAAGUCAGGGAAGAGUAUAGGAAGGAGUGGCCACAGUGCCCAACUGACAAUUGACAAUUUCACCAACUGAGUUUCUGGAGGACUGCAAUUUAGUAUGUUCAAAGAAUAGUCCAAGAAGCCGCUCCGGACCCUCAGCAUUAAGACGAAGGAGGGGGCAAACAGGUGAGAAAAUCGAGGCAACAAGAGGUUGGUUAACGUGCCCAAGAUCAGAUCGCACAGCGGUAUAAUAGGAUGGAAAACUCCUAUCACAUAAUGAACGUUAAGUGAAAAAAAUUAGUAUCCAAAACUGUAAGUCUGAUGUCUCAUUCUUUUUAUAAUUUAAGUAGUUUAUAAAUACCCUCAUUAUUAGCCAUAUUUCUGAGCACUUCAUAUGUAGAGUGCAC